rnacentral:sRNA from 1 species
UUAUGACCUUACCCACCUAAAAAGUACUAGUGGUGGGUGAUAUUGGUUAGAAAGUUAUUCACUUCGAGGAAAAUCAAUUUCAAAAGGCAAAUCCACUUCCAGAGACAGAUUCCUUGUUGAAAAACAAAGAAAUAGUUCAACAUGAUGAAACGGAGACGAAGUGAAAGGGCACCAUCAUUUACAGAGCCAAUAAUGCAAUCACAUGAUUGUGCAACCUGAAGGGUUCUCGUCGCUGAAAUAUUGCUCACCACGGUUGUUCAAAUAAGAGGGCCUGCCACCACCGUAACUGUCAUAAACGGGCCUUGCAUAGUACCCGUCGUAAUAGUUCAUGGGCCCACCGUAUUCGUAGAAAGGCCCAACGGGCCUACCUUCAUAGCAGGGAGCAGGAGCAUAGAGCAUCCCAAUUGGAACCGCCAUCGGUGGUGCUAUAUGUGGCUGAACGGGUAACGCAGCAGGUGCCGGCUUGUCUUUGGGCUUUUCCGCUUCCUUGGGUUUUUCGGCUUCCUUUUUGGGAGCCUCUGCUUUAGGCUUUUCCGCGUCUUUCUUUUUCUCAGGCUCAGACUUGGGCUUCUCGCCGCCGUCUUUCUUCUUCUCGGGCUCGGCCUUGGGCUUACCGGCUUCUUGUUUAGGAGCGUCGGCUUUAGGUUUCUCCGCGUCUUUCUUUUUCUCGGGUUCGGGCUUGGGCUUAUCGGCCUCCUUCUUAGGCUCGGCGGGCUUGGGCUUGGGUAGGUCUAAUAUCUCAAUGCUCUUGAUGGAGCCUCCACCUUUGUAGCAAAGCUUGUCCCUAAUUUUCUCGGGGCUACAACACACCACCGUAAUGAACACCAUGUUUGCCUUCUCAUCGUAUUUCUGGUCCCGAAUUUCUCUUGUUCACAAAAUUUCAACAUCCAAAAAAUCAACUCAAUUUGAUUCCCUCCUUAAUGUUUGGUAUAUCCAGAAAAUAAAUGUAUGCAAAUUGCAAAAUUUAUCGUGAUUCUAACGUAUGUAUAACACACGUAGUAGAGAAAAUUAAAGCAAGUGGUGAUGAACUCACGAGGAUACUUGGCGAGAACUUUCUUAACUUUCUUGCAGCAUUUUCCACACUCAAGGUCAACCUUGAGUUUCAUGAUAGUCACCUGAAUUAAUGUGUUCAAUAAAAACCACCCAUCAGAAUUAUACUACUCUAUAU